rnacentral:piRNA from 1 species
UGUGAAUCGUAAGCCUCUGCCUGGCAC